UACGGAGGGUGCAAACGUUGCUCGGAAUCAUUGGGCGUAAAGCGCAUGUAGGCGGUCGGCUAUGUCGGAUGUGAAAGCCUCGGGCUUAACCCGAGAAGUGCAUCCGAAACUGGCCGGCUUGAGUACGGAAGAGGGUCUCGGAAUUCCCGGUGUAGAGGUGAAAUUCGUAGAUAUCGGGAGGAACACCAGUGGCGAAGGCGGAGACCUGGGCCGAUACUGACGCUGAGAUGCGAAAGCGUGGGGAGCAAACGGG
rnacentral:rRNA from 1 species